rnacentral:ncRNA from 1 species
UGUCUUCGGGGCGGGGUGAAAUUCCCCACCGGCGGUAUAGCCCGCGAGCGAUUUUUUGCUGAACCUGUGCGAUUCAGGUGCCGACGGUAAAGUCCGGAUGAAAGAAGAU